UGUAUGUAAAUCGACACCGCGAAAACCAAAGACGAGUCACGGAGCAACGGUCGGUGCCGUCGACCGUCCGAGACAUUCAGCGAACGGCACCAAUUACAUCAACGCGAUCGUGACGAGAUCAUAGUAGUCAACCGAAGAAUAGUACAAGAAGAAGUCGUGAAAUUGCGUGUGUUUAACAUAAUUAAAAGGAAAAAUCAUCUGCUGUAAUUCGCCUCUCUCACGAUGCUGUUUCGACUUGUCUAAUCGUGUUUGGAAACUAUUUCCUUGAUAGCGCAGUGGUAACGUGCUUGUCGCUUAACUUAAGGCGUACGAUCCGGUUAUGGAUACGCUUUGUCUCAUGCUGGAAAGAGCCAGCAAUUUGAAGCGAUGUCUAGCUGCUCAACAUCUAGACGUAGAGUUCGAACUUUUUAUAUUUGAGAAUGCCGCCGUUGAUCAACUUCUAUUGAUCAUACCUUCUCAUUUAUUUAUCAAAAUCCCUCACAAUAUGUAUGCUUUAUCUACUAUCCAUUAAACGGAUCUAAUUUAUUUAAUCCUUUAUUAACACGCUUGUUUUGAUCAGGAAUUUCUAUUUCAUAACAUAGAAACCUUACUUCAACUAUAGCAGCGGUAGCGGCAUUCGCGUCAUUUACUUUAUCGACUAAAACAGUUACAUGUUCUUCUAUAAAUAAAGAAUUGACAGCCUGACCAAUGAUUGAGUCA